rnacentral:rRNA from 1 species
UACGGAGGAUCCAAGCGUUAUCCGGAUUUAUUGGGUUUAAAGGGUGCGUAGGCGGCCUAUUAAGUCAGGGGUGAAAGACGGUAGCUUAACUAUCGCAGUGCCUUUGAUACUGAUGGGCUUGAAUGUACUUGAGGUAGGCGGAAUGUGACAAGUAGCGGUGAAAUGCAUAGAUAUGUCACAGAACACCAAUUGCGAAGACAGCUUACUAAAGUAUGAUUGACGCUGAGGCACGAAAGCGUGGGGAUCAAACAGG